UACGAAGGGGGCUAGCGUUGCUCGGAAUCACUGGGCGUAAAGCGCACGUAGGCGGAUCUUUAAGUCAGGGGUGAAAUCCUGGAGCUCAACUCCAGAACUGCCUUUGAUACUGGGGAUCUCGAGUCCGGAAGAGGUAAGUGGAACUCCGAGUGUAGAGGUGAAAUUCGUAGAUAUUCGGAAGAACACCGGUGGCGAAGGCGGCGACCUGGUCCUUGACUGACGCUGAGGCGCGAAAGCGUGGGGAGCAAACAGG
rnacentral:rRNA from 1 species